GAUGAACGCUGGCGGCGUGCCUAAUACAUGCAAGUCGAGCGAACAGAUGAGGAGCUUGCUCCUCUGACGUUAGCGGCGGACGGGUGAGUAACCCGUGGAUAACCUACCUAUAAGACUGGGAUAACUUCGGGAAACCGGAGCUAAUACCGGAUAAUAUAUUGAACCGCAUGGUUCAAUAGUGAAAGACGGUUUUGCUGUCACUUAUAGAUGGAUCCGCGCCGCAUUAGCUAGUUGGUAAGGUAACGGCUUACCAAGGCAACGAUGCGUAGCCGACCUGAGAGGGUGAUCGGCCACACUGGAACUGAGACACGGUCCAGACUCCUACGGGAGGCAGCAGUAGGGAAUCUUCCGCAAUGGGCGAAAGCCUGACGGAGCAACGCCGCGUGAGUGAUGAAGGUCUUCGGAUCGUAAAACUCUGUUAUUAGGGAAGAACAAAUGUGUAAGUAACUAUGCACGUCUUGACGGUACCUAAUCAGAAAGCCACGGCUAACUACGUG
rnacentral:rRNA from 1 species